rnacentral:rRNA from 1 species
GCCUCGGGCCGACCUCCAACCCCCUGUGGACCCAACUUGUUGCUUCGGGGGCGACCCUACCGUUCCGGCGGCGGGCGCCCCCGGAGGCCUUCAAACCCCGCGUCCCUGCGUCGGAGUCUGAGUAAAUUGAACAAAACUUUCAACAACGGAUCUCUUGGUUCUGGCAUCGAUGAAGAACGCAGCGAAAUGCGAUAAGUAAUGUGAAUUGCAGAAUUCAGUGAAUCAUCGAAUCUUUGAACGCACAUUGCGCCCUCUGGUAUUCCGGAGGGCAUGCCUGUUCGAGCGUCAUGUCACCACUCAAGCCUCGCUUGGUAUUGGGCGCCGCGGUCACCCCGCGCGCCUCAAAGUCCCCCGGCCGAGCCGCCCGUCCCCGAGCGUUGUGAUUCUAUGAAUCGCUCCGGGGCGCGGGCGGCCGCGGCCGUUAAAUCUUUUGCACAGGUUGACCUCGGAUCAGGUAGGGAUA